UACAGAGGGUGCAAGCGCUAAUCGGAAUUACUGGGCGUAAAGCGCACGUAGGUGGCUGGGUAAGUUGGAUGUGAAAUCCCCGGGCUUAACUUGGGAAUUGCAUUCAAGACUGCCUUGCUAGAGUGUGGAAGAGGGAAGCGGAAUUCCAGGUGUAGCGGUGAAAUGCGUAGAUAUCAGGAGGAACACCGGUGGUGUAGACGGCUCACUGGACCGUAACUGACGCUGAGACACGAAAGCGUGGGUAGCAAACAGG
rnacentral:rRNA from 1 species